rnacentral:rRNA from 1 species
ACGGGAGGCAGCAGUGAGGAAUAUUGGUCAAUGGGCGAGAGCCUGAACCAGCCAAGUAGCGUGAAGGAUGACUGCCCUAUGGGUUGUAAACUUCUUUUGUUCGGGAAUAAAGGAGCCUACGCGUAGGCUUUUGCAUGUACCGUUCGAAUAAGCAUCGGCUAAUUCCGUGCCAGCAGCCGCGGUAAUACGGAAGAUGCGAGCGUUAUCCGGAUUUAUUGGGUUUAAAGGGAGCGUAGGCGGCCUUUUAAGUCAGCGGUAAAAUGUCAGCGCCCAACGCUGGCCUGCCGUUGAUACUGAUGGGCUUGAAUACACACAAGGAAGGUGGAAUUCGUCGUGUAGCGGUGAAAUGCUUAGAUAUGACGAAGAACACCGAUUGCGUAGGCAGCAGACCAGGCCGUAAAUGACGCUCAUGCACGAAAGUGCGGGGAUCGAACAGGAUUAGAUACCCUGGUA